rnacentral:lncRNA from 1 species
ACAAAACAAAAACAUUAGCAGGAAAAACCCAAAAUGGAUACCAGCCAAAAGCCUUACGAUUGAAAAAACCCAUUCAAAGCUCGAAGGGGCCGAAAGAAGGUAGCUUUGAAGCCAGCAAUGGAGAUUCAAACUGAACCUUCUCCAACCUUCAAAGCUCAGAAAACCCUUAACGAUGAUGAAACCAUGCAGACUGAUCCAUCUCUACUAGCUUUGCAACAGGAUCCGGAGCUUCCUCAACCCAGAAACAAGAGGUGUUUCGAUGGCGUCCAUCCAUUGCCAAAGCGUGCGCCGCCCUAUUAACCUCUCUGGGAACAAAACGGUACACAACGUUAUCAAAAGCUCUCUAAUAAUUGAAUAUUUUGCGUAAUCGAUCUAAGGAUAGAUCUGUCCUCUUUGGUCGAGUUUAAUUUUUUGAUAGUUGUCAGGGAGUCUCCUUCCAAGAUAAGUUUACUGAAGCCCAUAUCCUACGCAAAAUAAAGAGCCCUUUCACACAUACGCAUUUCUACAACAAGCACCCAUAAUCUGGCCUUCCGCAUCUCUAGCUAGGACUGCUACAAUAGAUACAUUAGUGUUGCUCAUAAAAGAAGCAUCAAAGUUCAGUUUAAUAUUUCUAACUGUAGGUGGUUGCCACAAAACGUUCAUUGCUACUUCCAGAGGAGAGACAAUAACUUUACUACUGCUAAAAUCCUGAGCAUAGCUCAGAAUAAAGCCCAUAAGUUCACGUAUCCUGAAGUUAAGUCCCUCAUUUACCAACUUAUUCCUUUUAUACCAAAGAGCCCACAAAGAAAUAGUAAUGAGUUUCUUGGACAACAUAUCAGCAGCUAGAAAAUUAUUACAAAUUGUGUUUUCCAUUCGAGGUAUCAAUGCUGGAGUCGAAAGAGAGAUUCAAAAGAACCCAGAGUUGUCUCAAGACGCUACAAGUCCAAAAUAAGUGAUGUGAAUCCUUUGGAGCCUCAUUGCACAAAGGACAGGUAGUAUCAACUCGCAGUCUCCGUUUGGCCAAAUUACAGAAAUGAGGCACAUAAUUUUUUAGGAUACGCCAUAGAUGAAUUUUAAUUUUAGCAGGGAGCUACAAGCCCCAAGUUGAUGUAUAAAGUGUUUUGUAAUUAUCCGAUGAGGCCAAAAUACCAUCUUUAAAUUGGGUCAUUUUUGUAAGUAAUGUUCGGUAGCCGCUCUUAACCGAAAACUCCCCAGAAGCAUCAUGGCGCAAGACCAAUGUAUCCUGAGCAUUACAACCCGUAAGAGGAAUAGUAAGGAUGCGCCUAACCUGUUCAUCAUCAACAAUCUUGCAAAUUACAGCCUUGUUCCAGGUACCAGUGUUAGCAUUAAUUAACUGAUCAACAGUUGUCCAGUGAGUAUCUAUAGCCUGUACUAACAAUCUACCAUUCCAAGGACCAAGCAACCAGGGGUCAUUCCAGAUGUUCACCUUCGUACCACAGCCAAUUCGCCGCAGAAGUCCAUCAUCAAACAGCUCCCUCACACAGCAGAUACUUCUCCAGGUAAAAGAAGGGUAAGAGCCGAUUUUAGUUCACAAAAUAUCAGUGAAUGGAUAAUAACGAGAUUUAAGAACUUUAGAUAAAAGACAAUCGGACUGCGAUAAAAGACGCCAAACUUGCUUAGCUAAAAGAGAUUUAUUAAAUAAAUAAAGAUCCCAAAAACCCAGCCUACCAUUAACCUUUGGCAAACAUAGUGCACUCCAGGUACUCUAGUGAAUUCCUUUCGCAGAUUUACUGUUUGACCACCAAAAUUUAUUCAUAAUACGAUGACAUUAUUCUUUUGGCAAUGCAAAACAUUGCAUAACAUAAACCAAUAUUGCUUGUAAAACUGCCUUUAUAAAAACCUCUUUACCACCCAUUGAAAGGUACCUAAAGCUCCACCUCUCUAUACGCCGUCGAAACCUGUCAACAAAAUUUGCAAAUGCCUUUUUUUUUCUACCCAAUUAUCAUGGGUAAACCCGAAUACUUUUCAGGGUUCAUUGACAUCCUAACACCCAGAGUGUUAAUAAUAAAAUUCCUAUCCUCAGCCCCCACACAAGCACCAAAAUAAAUGAGUGACUUGUCCAAAUUAAUUUGUUGUCCUGAUGGAAAUUCAUAUUCCAAAAGGAUCUUGCUUACAAUGUGUGCCCGUUCAGCCGAAGCAUCACCAAAAAUGAUGCAAUCAUUUUCAAACAACAAGUGGGUAAUCGCUAACUUACCCCUACCAAUCAAAACUCAUCGCAUUGUAUGAUUACGCUUAGCCAUUUUCAAUAAAGAAGAAAGACCUUCCGCACAAAGAAGAAAAAGGUAAGGGUUAAGCUGGUCGCCUUGCCUUAGUCCUUUCGACGGAGUAAAAUGAUCACUAACAUCCUCAUUAAUACCCACUAUAUAUGUAACCAAGCAAACACACCGCAUAAUGAGAACAAUCCAAUUUUGAUGAAAAUUCAGUCUAGACAUCAUUCCAGCCAAAAAAUCUCAUUCCACCCGGUCAUACGCUUUGCUAAGGUUAAGUUUAAGCGCAAAAUUCUCGUUUUUAUUCUUUUUCUUUAUCUUAAGAGAAUGAAGCACCUCAUAGGCAAUUAAUGUAUUGUCUGAUAUAUGCCUCCCGGGAAUAAAAGCACCCUGAGAUUCAUCAAUACAAUAUUUUAGAAUUGGACUCAUACGAGCUACCAGUACCUUCGCAAUAAUCUUAUAAAACAUGGUGCAUAAGUUGUAGGCCUAAACUGAGACAGAUUUUUUGGUUUGUCCACUUUGGGGAUGAAAACCAAAUGAGUUCUAUUAAUGUUGCCCAUUUCAAUUCUGCCAUUUAAAACCUCCAAACAAUAGUUUAAGAUCUCAUCACCUACAAGAUGCCUAAGAAAUAAAUAUGGUUAGUUGGGGAUAAUAUUUGUAUCUUUUUGAAAAUAAAAUAGUUAUUUUAUCCUUUAUUUUUCUUUUAUUUUUUUCUCUCCCUCAAUUUUUCCCACGUUCAAUUGUGGGGUAGUUUUCAUUUUUAUAUUUUUCCCUUUUUUCCUUCCUUUAUUUAUACAUCUGUUCUUCUUUCUCAACUCUUUGGUUCUCUUUUAUUUUCCUUGGUUGCAAGGAUUGUUCUCUUACAUUCUUGUCAAUACUGGUUGAGUUCCUUUGUUUCGGUUGUGGGCUUAAAUCGUAGAG